UUUAAGCAUAUAAGUAAGCGGGGGAAAAGGAACUAAAUAGGAUUUCCCUCAGGUAAUGGCGAAUGAACAGGGAUGAGCUCAGGCUGGAAACCGAUACAUCUGUGUCGGGCUGUAGCCUGCAGGCAUAGCGCUAUCGGCGGCUCGAGCGCAAGCCUCUUGGAAUAGAGCGUGUGCCCGGGUGAGAAUCCUGCAUUUCGCUCGAUGUCCGCUGUCCACAGUGCUUGUCCUGAGAGUCACGCUCCUCGGAAUUGGAGCGUAAAUCAGGUGGUAAGUUUCAUCCAAAGCUAAAUAGAAGCUCGAGACCAAUAGCAAACAAGUACCAUGAGGGAAAGAUGAAAAGGACUUUGGAAAGAGAGUUAAAAGUGUUUGAAAUUGCUGAGAGCGAAGCGAACGGAGCCACAUGUCGUGCUGAGAUUGCUGUGGGUCUUUGUGAGCCUUGAGCAUGUAAGCGCAAGCUGACUGCUUAUGUGUGAGCAUUUGCCCGCAGUGUUUCUCAGCAUGCGAGUCAUUAGCCACAUUUGUUUGAGGAUGGCCUUCAGCUCACAUGGUACACUUGUUAGUGUUCCUCUGUGCGGUGUGGGACUCAGACAGGCGUGGCUUGUUGACCCAGU
rnacentral:rRNA from 1 species